rnacentral:rRNA from 1 species
UACGUAGGGUCCGAGCGUUGUCCGGAAUUACUGGGCGUAAAGAGCUCGUAGGUGGUUUGUCGCGUUGUUCGUGAAAACUCACAGCUUAACUGUGGGCGUGCGGGCGAUACGGGCAGACUGGAGUACUGCAGGGGAGACUGGAAUUCCUGGUGUAGCGGUGAAAUGCGCAGAUAUCAGGAGGAACACCAGCAGCGAAGGCGGCGCUCUGGGCUGGAACUGACGCUGAGGAGCGAAAGCGUGGGUAGCAAACAGG